AUGUAAGGGCAGUUGUAUAUGACAUAUGUCCAUUUGCUGAUCACCAAAGUUGACAUGGCUGACCUGGGUGGCUAGGUGGAUGCUUAAUUACCUCGCCACUCAGCAUGUUUUCUUCCUGAAACUCUCUGCACAAGUAGAGGAGUACCCUUCUUUGUUCAAGAGUUUAUCAAUAGCUUCACUGCUCCAUGGAAACCUCCAAACAAGCGCACAAGGAAGCUAUUUCAAUAUUUGACGCAAAAGGGUACAAUUAU
rnacentral:sRNA from 14 species